rnacentral:tRNA from 1 species
GGUAAAACGAGGAUGAUCCUUC